GGCGGCGUGCUUAACACAUGCAAGUCGCGUGCGCAGUUUCCGUAGCAAUACGGAGAUGGGCGCACGGCGCACGGGUGCGUAACACGUGGGCAAUCUGCCCUUUGAUGGGGAAUAACCCGCCGAAAGGCGGGCUAAUUCCGCAUAAGAUUCCCGGAACUUCGGUUCUGGGAUUGAAAGCAGCAAUGCGUCGAAGGAGGAGCCCGCGCCCGAUUAGCUAGUUGGUGAGGUAACGGCUCACCAAGGCUAUGAUCGGUAGCUGGUCUGAGAGGAUGAUCAGCCACACUGGAACUGAGACACGGUCCAGACUCCUACGGGAGGCAGCAGUGGGGAAUCUUGCACAAUGGGCGAAAGCCUGAUGCAGCGACGCCGCGUGGGGGAUGAAGCAUUUCGGUGUGUAAACCCCUUUCGACUGGGACGAAUGCCUCGCAAGAGGA
rnacentral:rRNA from 1 species